rnacentral:rRNA from 1 species
AGGAUGAACGCUGGCGGCGUGCUUAACACAUGCAAGUCGAACGAUGACUUUUGUGCUUGCACAAAAUGUAUUAGUGGCAGACACGGGUAGAGUAACACUGUGAGUAACUCUGCCCUUGACUCUGGGAUAAGCCUGGGAAACUGGGUCUAAUACUGGAUAUGCACCGUGAACCGCAUGGUUUUUGGUGGAAAGAUUUAUUGGUCAAGGAUGGACUCGCGGCCUAUCAGCUUGUUGGUGAGGUAAUGGCUCACCAAGGCGACGACGGGUAGCCGGCCUGAGAGGGUGACCGGCCACACUGGGACUGAGACACGGCCCAGACUCCUACGGGAGGCAGCAGUGGGGAAUAUUGCACAAUGGGCGAAAGCCUGAUGCAGCGACGCCGCGUGAGGGAUGACGGCCUUCGGGUUGUAAACCUCUUUCAGUAGGGAAGAAGCGAAAGUGACGGUACCUGCAGAAGAAGCGCCGGCUAACUACGUGCCAGC